GACGAACGCUGGCGGCGUGCUUAACACAUGCCAGUCGAACGGAAAGGCCCUGCUUUUGUGGGGUGCUCGAGUGGCGAACGGGUGAGUAACACGUGAGUAACCUGCCCUUGACUUUGGGAUAACUUCAGGAAACUGGGGCUCAUACCGGAUAGGAGCUCCUGCUGCAUGGUGGGGGUUGGAAAGUUUCGGCGGUUGGGGAUGGAAUGGCAGCUUAUCAGCUUGUUGGUGAGGUAGUUGCUUACCACGGCUUUGACGGGUAGCCGGCCUGAGAGGGUGACCGGCGACAUGGGGACUGCGAUACGGCCCAGACUGCUACGGGAGGCAGCAGUGGGGAAUAUUGCACAAUGGGCGGAAGCCUGAUGCAGCAGCGCCGCGUGCGGAAUGACGGCCUACGAGUUGUAAACCGCUUUCGCCUGUGACGAAGCGUGAGUGACGGUAAUGGGUAAAGAAGCACCGGCUAACUACGUG
rnacentral:rRNA from 1 species